rnacentral:misc_RNA from 1 species
AAACAAUAGUUACAUAAUAUUUACACACUUAAUUAAUUAACACAUCCUAAAUAAUUAAUUAUAAAAACCACAUAUCAAGAAAAGUAGACUGAUAUUGCAACAAUAUUAGUAACAACACAAUUAAAGCAGCCACCCCCCACGGUGAGCUUCCUUCGGACGGCAGUUGAUACGUUCUUCGCCGUCGGUCCCACGGUGAUCCGCCAAAAAACCAAUCUGGCGGGUCCACCGUGGAUAACCACUUGACGGCGAAUAACAAAACAAGUGGCACAAUCAUAAGUAUCCAACCAAAACUUUCUUCAGUAGCUUCCAUCACUUCUUCAUACGAAACAAACCAUUGAAUACCAAGAAAUAUAAAUAUAACACCUAAAAAUAAUAAAACUGGAUAUGGUAAAGGAUUUAGUGAAAAACCCUCCAAGAUUGAGGAUGCUGUAUUUUUUCUAUGUGGAUACAUGAAUUUUCUUUAAAAUAAAAAUAAAAAAAUUAAAUAUUUCAUGAAAAACUAUGCAAUAAAAUUUUUAUGUAAAUUUACUUUAUCAUAAGUGGUGAGAUUUAUAUAUUUAAUAAAUUAAACUUACAUAUAUAUGUGUGUUGUGUUGGGAGCCGCACUGUAUAUUGUAAAUUAGAUCAAAGUAAUUUUUUUUUUUUUAAAGGAUGAU